GAUGAACGCUGGCGGCGUGCCUAAUACAUGCAAGUCGAGCGAACAGACGAGGAGCUUGCUCCUCUGACGUUAUCGGCGGACGGGUGAGUAACACGUGGAUAACCUACCUAUAAGACUGGGAUAACUUCGGGAAACCGGAGCUAAUACCGGAUAAUAUAUUGAACCGCAUGGUUCAAUAGUGAAAGACGGUUUUGCUGUCACUUAUAGAUGGAUCCGCGCCGCAUUAGCUAGUUGGUAAGGUAACGGCUUACCAAGGCAACGAUGCGUAGCCGACCUGAGAGGGUGGUCGGCCACACUGGAACUGAGACACGGUCCAGACUCCUACGGGAGGCAGCAGUAGGGAAUCUUCCGCAAUGGGCGAAAGCUUGACGGAGCAACGCCGCGUGAGUGAUGAAGGUCUUCGGAUCGUAAAGCUCUGUUAUUAGGGAAGAACAAAUGUGUAAGUAACUAUGCACGUCUUGACGGUACCUAAUCAGAAAGCCACGGCUAACUACGUG
rnacentral:rRNA from 1 species